rnacentral:rRNA from 1 species
AAUGAACGCUGGCGGCAUGCCUAACACAUGCAAGUCGAACGAAGGCUUCGGCCUUAGUGGCGCACGGGUGCGUAACGCGUGGGAAUCUGCCCUUGGGUUCGGAAUAACUCAGAGAAAUUUGAGCUAAUACCGGAUGAUGACGUAAGUCCAAAGACUUAUCGCCCAAGGAUGAGCCCGCGUAGGAUUAGCUUGUUGGUGAGGUAAAAGCUCACCAAGGCGACGAUCCUUAGCUGGUCUGAGAGGAUGAUCAGCCACACUGGGACUGAGACACGGCCCAGACUCCUACGGGAGGCAGCAGUGGGGAAUAUUGGACAAUGGGCGAAAGCCUGAUCCAGCAAUGCCGCGUGAGUGAUGAAGGCCUUAGGGUUGUAAAGCUCUUUUACCCGGGAAGGAUAAUGACCGUACCGGGAGAAUAAGCCCGGCUAACUCCGUGCCAGCAGCCGCG